UCUGGUGUCAGCCGCCGCGGUAAAACCAGCACCUCAAGUGGUCAGGAUGAUUAUUGGGCCUAAAGCAUCCGUAGCCUGCUUUGUUAGUUUUCGGUUAAAUCCAUAUGCUCAACGUAUGGGCUGCCGGGAAUACUGCAAAGCUAGGGAGUGGGAGAGGUAGACGGUACUCGGUAGGAAGGGGUAAAAUCCUUUGAUCUAUUGAUGACCACCUGUGGCGAAGGCGGUCUACCAGAACACGUCCGACGGUGAGGGAUGAAAGCUGGGGGAGCAAACCGGAUUAGAUACCCGGGUAGUCCCAGCUGUAAACUAUGCAAACUCGGUGAUGCAUUGGCUUGAUGCCAAUGCAGUGCCGCAGGGAAGCCGUUAAGUUUGCCGCCUGGGAAGUACGUACGCAAGUAUGAAACUUAAAG
rnacentral:rRNA from 2 species